rnacentral:rRNA from 1 species
GGGUUGUGAGGUUAAGCGACUAAGCGUACACGGUGGAUGCCCUGGCAGUCAGAGGCGAUGAAGGGCGUGCUAAUCUGCGAUAAGCGCCGGUAAGGUGAUAUGAACCGUUAUAACCGGCGAUACCCGAAUGGGGAAACCCAGUGUGAUUCGUCACACUAUCAUUAACUGAAUCCAUAGGUUAAUGAGGCGAACCGGGGGAACUGAAACAUCUAAGUACCCCGAGGAAAAGAAAUCAACCGAGAUUCCCCCAGUAGCGGCGAGCGAACGGGGAGGAGCCCAGAGCCUGAAUCAGCAUGUGUGUUAGUGGAAGCGUCUGGAAAGGCGCGCGAUACAGGGUGACAGCCCCGUACACAAAAGCGCAUGUGCUGUGAGCUCGAUGAGUAGGGCGGGACACGUGGUAUCCUGUCUGAAUAUGGGGGGACCAUCCUCCAAGGCUAAAUACUCCUGACUGACCGAUAGUGAACCAGUACCGUGAGGGAAAGGCGAAAAGAACCCCGGCGAGGGGAGUGAAAAAGAACCUGAAACCGUGUACGUACAAGCAGUGGGAGCACAGGUUUACCUGUGUGACUGCGUACCUUUUGUAUAAUGGGUCAGCGACUUAUAUUCUGUAGCAAGGUUAACCGAAUAGGGGAGCCGGAGGGAAACCGAGUCUUAACCGGGCGUUAAGUUGCAGGGUAUAGACCCGAAACCCGGUGAUCUAGCCAUGGGCAGGUUGAAGGUUGGGUAACACUAACUGGAGGACCGAACCGACUAAUGUUGAAAAAUUAGCGGAUGACCUGUGGCUGGGGGUGAAAGGCCAAUCAAACCGGGAGAUAGCUGGUUCUCCCCGAAAGCUAUUUAGGUAGCGCCUCGUGAAUUCAUCUCCGGGGGUAGAGCACUGUUUCGGCUAGGGGGCCAUCCCGGCUUACCAACCCGAUGCAAACUGCGAAUACCGGAGAAUGUUAUCACGGGAGACACACGGCGGGUGCUAACGUCCGUCGUGAAGAGGGAAACAACCCAGACCGCCAGCUAAGGUCCCAAAGUCAUGGUUAAGUGGGAAACGAUGUGGGAAGGCCCAGACAGCCAGGAUGUUGGCUUAGAAGCAGCCAUCAUUUAAAGAAAGCGUAAUAGCUCACUGGUCGAGUCGGCCUGCGCGGAAGAUGUAACGGGGCUAAACCAUGCACCGAAGCUGCGGCAGCGAACGUAUCACCCAAGACAACUUUGCGGAGUUGACGAUUGACGGAGCGAAGCGACGUCAAAGCGUUCAUUAAAGUCGAGUUGGCUUAGGGAUACGUUCGUUGGGUAGGGGAGCGUUCUGUAAGCCUGUGAAGGUGGCCUGUGAGGGUUGCUGGAGGUAUCAGAAGUGCGAAUGCUGACAUAAGUAACGAUAAAGCGGGUGAAAAGCCCGCUCGCCGGAAGACCAAGGGUUCCUGUCCAACGUUAAUCGGGGCAGGGUGAGUCGACCCCUAAGGCGAGGCCGAAAGGCGUAGUCGAUGGGAAACGGGUUAAUAUUCCCGUACUUGGUGUUACUGCGAAGGGGGGACGGAGAAGGCUAUGUUGGCCGGGCGACGGUUGUCCCGGUUUAAGCGUGUAGGUGUGUGUUCCAGGUAAAUCCGGUUCACUUUAACACUGAGGCGUGACGACGAGGCACUACGGUGCUGAAGCAACAAAUGCCCUGCUUCCAGGAAAAGCCUCUAAGCAUCAGGUAACAUCAAAUCGUACCCCAAACCGACACAGGUGGUCAGGUAGAGAAUACCAAGGCGCUUGAGAGAACUCGGGUGAAGGAACUAGGCAAAAUGGUGCCGUAACUUCGGGAGAAGGCACGCUGACACGUAGGUGAAGUGAUUUACUCAUGGAGCUGAAGUCAGUCGAAGAUACCAGCUGGCUGCAACUGUUUAUUAAAAACACAGCACUGUGCAAACACGAAAGUGGACGUAUACGGUGUGACGCCUGCCCGGUGCCGGAAGGUUAAUUGAUGGGGUCAGCGCAAGCGAAGCUCCUGAUCGAAGCCCCGGUAAACGGCGGCCGUAACUAUAACGGUCCUAAGGUAGCGAAAUUCCUUGUCGGGUAAGUUCCGACCUGCACGAAUGGCGUAAU